rnacentral:tRNA from 1 species
UAAUUAGAGAGCUUGUAUAAGCAUUCGACUUUUAAUCGAAAGAAAGUUAAAACUUCUAAUUA